rnacentral:rRNA from 1 species
UGGGAACCUUCCCUAUGGUUCGGAAUAGCUCAGGGAAACUUGGGGUAAUACCGGAUAAGCCCCUUCGGGGGAAAGAUUUAUCGCCAUUGGAUGGGCCCGCGUCGGAUUAGCUAGUUGGCGAGGUAACGGCUCACCAAGGCAACGAUCCGUAGCUGGUCUGAGAGGAUGAUCAGCCACACUGGGACUGAGACACGGCCCAGACUCCUACGGGAGGCAG